rnacentral:rRNA from 1 species
AAAGAAAGAUGUGAAUGCCAGGGCUCAACAUGGAACUGCAUUUUAACUGCCGAGCUAGAGUAUGUCAGAGGGGAGUAGAAUUCCACGUGUAGCAGUGAAAUGCGUAGAUAUGUGGAGGAAUACCGAUGGCGAAGGCAGCCCCCUGGGAUAAUACUGACGCUCAGACACGAAAGCGUGGGGAGCAAACAGGAUUAGCUACCCUGGUAGUCCACGCCCUAAACGAUGUCAACUAGCUGUUGGGGCCGUUAGGCCUUAGUAGCGCAGCUAACGCGUGAAGUUGACCGCCUGGGGAGUACGGUCGCAAGAUUAAAACUCAAAGGAAUUGACGGGGACCCGCACAAGCGGUGGAUGAUGUGGAUUAAUUCGAUGCAACGCGAAAAACCUUACCUACCCUUGACAUGUCUGGAAAGCCGAAGAGAUUUGGCCGUGCUCGCAAGAGAACCGGAACACAGGUGCUGCAUGGCUGUCGUCAGCUCGUGUCGUGAGAUGUUGGGUUAAGUCCCGCAACGAGCGCAACCCUUGUCAUUAGUUGCUACGCAAGAGCACUCUAAUGAGACUGCCGGUGACAAACCGGAGGAAGGUGGGGAUGACGUCAAGUCCUCAUGGCCCUUAUGGGUAGGGCUUCACACGUCAUACAAUGGUCGGGACAGAGGGUCGCCAACCCGCGAGGGGGAGCCAAUCUCAGAAACCCGAUCGUAGUCCGGAUCGCAGUCUGCAACUCGACUGCGUGAAGUCGGAAUCGCUAGUAAUCGCGGAUCAGAAUGUCGCGGUGAAUACGUUCCCGGGUCUUGUACACACCGCCCGUCACACCAUGGGAGUGGGUUUCACCAGAAGUAGGUAGCCUAACCGUAAGGAGGGCGCUUACCCACGGUGGGAUUC